GAGACCAAGAAGGAGAAUCAAAGUCUUUGGUGAAUUGAAGGUGGAUUGAGAGUGCUUAGGACUUAAAAUCAAGGUUAGUGCUAAGAUAUCCCUUGAAUUUUUUAAAGUUUUUCCUAUCAAGUUAGGGUUUCUAUACAAUUAGGGUUUUUAUUAUAUAAAGCCUAUUUAAUACUAUUAUGUUUACAAUGACUAUUUGGUGUGUAUUUAUUGAGAAACAUUAAAGAUAUGGUGAAGAAAUCAAAUGAAUUGGAAUUGUGCAUUAAGUGAAAAUUCUGGACAACUUGAGUCCAGUGAGAUUAAAUGCUCAUAACUUGAGCUAUAUAACUCCAAUUAGUAUAAAACCAAGGCAAAUUAAAGAUAAGAUAAUAUACUAAAACUUUCAUAAAGACAAGCUGCCCUAAUUUUGUGUGUAGAUACUUGAAAUAAUUGCUAGAAAUUGAGUUACAAUAACUGAAACCUAGGAGCAAGACACCCUAGAUAGCUCAGAUUAAAAUGAGUAUAACUCACUCUAGGAAACUCCAAAUUAGGUAAUUCUUGAUUUGUUGAAAAGAUAAAAUAUAAAGAAACAACUUUCCUGAAAAAUAAAAUGAAAAAUUCAAAGUGAAACUUAUUCAAAUUUGGGUUUCAAAAACUGCCCAAACCCUGUAAAGAAUGCAUCUGAACAUGUCCUGUUCACUUAGACAUAAUUUAUUGUAUAUAAUUCUAAAUGACGUAAAUUUACCUUAUUGCAAAGCUAAGACAUAGAGGAAUAACUUUAAUGAAAAACCCUUAACCUGAAAUUGACUAGAAAAAACCUGAAUUAGGGCUAGAAUUUGGAAAUACAAAUCCCGGAACUCUGAAAAUUAACUAAAUGAAUAGUGCACACUAAAUUGAGCAUAACUCACUCUACAAAACUCCA
rnacentral:misc_RNA from 1 species